AAAUACAUGGACGGACGUCAUGAUAAAAGUGACGUCAGGCUUCCCUUAGCUUGCGCCAAGGCCUGAAGUUUUACAAGUAAAAUAACUAUGAUAAAUUUACAUUAUAACUAGAAGAGGUCACGUUAUUAGUCGAAAUAAAUAUUUGUUGAACCGGGUAAAACUGGUCAGACCAGCGAGCAAUUCUGAGAAAUAGAGCGACCUCGGGAUACUUCACCGAGCGCGAAGAGUGGAAGGGAGAGUUGCACCAUCACUUUCUACAAGUUUAACAUUGUUGUUUCACGACAACAUACAAGUAAAAAUGUAUGAAUUUUCAAUACAUGUCGGGACUGCAAGCAACCCCUUCAACUGUAUGAUAAGAAUAUGGAUACUGAGAGGACCUGAGCACUUGGACCAUGCCUCAGGACUACCUGGCCUGAUUACUCCUUGCUGUCCCCAGUCCACCUGGUCGUGCUGCUGCUCUAGUUUCAAUUGUUCUACCUGCGGCUAUGGAACCUUGACCUGUUCACCCGACGUGCUACCUUGUCCCAGACCUGCUGUUUUCAACUUUCUAGAGACAGCAGGUACCAAAUAUUCAAAUCCAUCCAGACACAAGUGGUGUCAUCCUUGACUUCACACGCAACGCCAGGAGUGAAACCGGAUGCAUACAAUCAAAGCAAAGAUAACGGAUUAGAUUUUCAUUGAAGAUAUGAGAUGGAAGGAAAGGAAAUACAUAUUACUGUACAUCCAUAUACAGUGUAUUCGGAAAGUAUUCAGACCCCUUGACUUUUUCCACAUUCUGUUACGUUACAGCCUUAUUCUAAAAAGUAUUUAAAAAAGUAUUUUUUUCCUGUUUUCACUUUGUCGUUA
rnacentral:lncRNA from 1 species